UGAUGACAAAAGCAGCCUGCAGAAAUGUAGAUGCCAGAGCAGUUAAAUUUUAACAAUAAUAAAUGACAAUAAUCUGCAUAAAAGUAGCAAGAAGCAUUUGACACAUUUUCACACAGCACAAUAGUGUAAAUUGUAAUUAAAACUGGCUCUAAAACAGAACCUUGAGGUACACUAUUUUUUUUUACCUUAAAAUAUAACUAUGAAUCCCUUCAAAAGGAAUUCAUAGCGAUUAGUGAGCCCCUGUGUGCUGUAGUGACAACGAAACAGGGAACUUGCUUAAGAUAUUUUGUAGUAAAAUUUAAGAAAUAGUUUGGGUAGAUUUCUAAAAAAUGUUUCAUGUGAAAAUAUUGAUGUCCAGGGAUCAUUGUGCCCAACAUUGCUAUAACUAGUUGUGGCAUCCUUAUUAGAGAAAAUGCUGUUGUCACCAUAUAACAUUAUUUUUUUGUGACAGGACAAUAUUUUUCUGAAUGCCUUGAUAAGAAUCACAUGAUCUAGCAUAUUAGAACUACAAACAUAGUUUAUUUUUAAAAAGAGUCACUGCUUCUUUAUCUCAGCUUUAUUCUGAUGAAAAUUAAUAAAAGGCAAUGGCAGCGCAGCACAAAGCAAGCAUCUUUUAAAAAGUUUUACGUUUAAAUAUUUGAUCAUUAUGUCAGAUGUUUACAUUGAUCAUAGAAUUCAAAUCUUCAUAAAAAAAAGACAACAAAAAUAUGUUGUGAUCCUAAUAAACCUAGAACUGAACAUGUUUCUCCAUAUUGAUCAAUCCAUGUUCAUUCAGCAAAUUAAUGCAGAUUUGUUUUUUUUAUUAUUUGAUUUAAUUGAAUACAGUUGAUCUAAACUAAAAGUUGGCUAAAUAUUUCUAAAAGUUUAGAUUUUUACUUGACAGCAGAAUUUCUUUUCCUUUCCUUUGUGUUUGACAUAAAAUGGAAAAUGUAUCAGUUGUUCUGUGUUGCUCUUAUUAUUUCUGCCUCAUGUCAGCAUUUUUAUAUUCAAGCCAGAAACAAACACUUGACAGAGGAGACUGGUGCACUCUGAAUGUAAUCAUUUGUUCCUUUAUGUUGGAAAAUACUCAAUCAGGGAAUUGUUUGUGGUCCACCUUUUCUGUCUCCAUGUUUCUAUGCUUUUGAGCUGCAAAAGAAAAACACAAACCAAUUCACUGCUUUGAGGGGAAAAAAGUCAUAUAAAAGGCAGAUUCCAUGUUCAGUUGCUAAGCAACGUAGUUGUGGUAAAGCACUUGAAUGCAGAGCAUUUAUUUUAAUCAACUUCACUCAUCAAAAGCAUUAGCUCUGUGUGAAGAAUCGGUGCUGUCUCUGGCUAUUAACUGCUGUCAUGGUGACGGAUAAACACAUCCUCUUUCAUUUUUGCAUAUUAGGACAUAAUAAAUAAAAUCAUCUGGUAUUUAGCAGAUUUUUAAAGCUAAGGAAAUAUAAUCUCAGAAGAGCAAUACAACAUUGACAUUAAAUUCCAUUCAAAUUGCUACUAGGUUGUUGGAAAGGCUGCUAAGUUAUAGGAGGAGAUUUAAGCUUUAAGACAAAUCUGGCAUUAAUAUGAAUGGUGAUGUCUUUUGUGCUGCUUUGCAGACACACAGAGUUUUCAUUUGAAAUGGGAGACAUUGCUGCAAUCAAAAGCUGCCUCUUCAAGAAAUAGCAGAGAAACAGUCUAUAUGCUUAUGUGCAAAUCUUACUACAUUAUUUUCUCAUAAAAGUAGCUUUUCUGCAUUUUUUUAAGUUUAUGGAACAUUUUGCAAAACAUUAUGUCUGUGAUUAUUCUGACUAUGAUUCUGAUUACCCUAUGAUAUUGAACCUGUAAAAAUAGACUCUACCCCGUUAUUCUUCCUGCUGGAGAAGUCAAGGCACUCACAUAAUUGAGCGUAUUUUAAGUGGACUCAAAGCGGACGUUUGCCAGACACGUCUGUGCACAGGUCAAUUUUUACGUCACAGUACGAUGUUCACAUUGAACUGUUUUGUAUGCAAUACCGAGCUCAUAAGGUUUGAGAGUCGGCACAACCAUUCAGAAGGACACUGCUCAACCAGACUGCCACUUUGUGCUGCUUUAGCAGGUGUGCGGUGGCUGCCCUGGAGAGGAAACAUCAGACUAGGUGCCGAACUUGCUAGCAUCCAUUUGGAUUGUGGAAAAUUAAGGGAUUUGUCUUGAGAAAGGACUAUGAAAUCUCAACAGUGGACAGUGUGUGUGGACUUCAUGCGGCUCACAGAAUACACACAGUAUUCUGGGUGAUGGUGGCAAUGGCAGCAGGAGUUCACCCUGCAAUUGGUGAAUCGCUGGUUUGAUUCCCGGUCCAUCUGCCCUUGUUGUCUGUGUCUGUGACCCUUGUUGACGCUUCACCCGCAGUGCCUGCUGAUGUUGGUCAGAGGGGUUGAUGGCAGCUGUAGCUGCAUUCCAGCAGUUUGUUGUCAACAGUGUGAAUGAGCCCUUUGAGAUUUCAAUUGGAGCUAGAGGGCUUCAUUAAUAAAUGGAUUAUUAUUACUAGUAUGCCCACGUAUGCAGGAUGCUUUUGGCCUUUUCAAACAUAAACAGAAGAUGAAGAUGUGAAGGACCAGUUGAAAGGAGAGAACACAUCAUUGUUUCUGUCUCCAGAUGCUGAUGUUUUAUUAGAUGGCCGACUUUCUCUCCUCCUUUAGAAAAUGCUAUAAUUUCUAUUGUACACCAGUAGCUGGCCAUAAUAUUAUUAAGAAUUAUGUCAAAAUUCCUUAAAAAGAUAGGAAAACAGAAAGCAUGGGUAAGGAAAGGCUAAAUGCUAGAGCUUCUGUCAAAACAACUGUAGCUCAUGUUCCUUUUGACAGUCAGUGACCUCUUCAGCUCGCUUUUAAGAUUCAUGGAAAACAGAAUCUAGAUGAAGUGACAGAGUGUAGAAACAGCUUCUCUGUAGUUGCUGUGGUUUCUAUCACUGAAGUAAUUGUAUUCAUGUGCACUUAGAUGUCUUUAUAUAACAGAAAUCGAGUUUUUAAACAUCCCCACUUCAAAAAGCAUUUUUAAAACUAUAAAAAAAAAAAUUCCAUCAAAAUUCCAUUGUGCAUCUGGACGAGUUGUGCAGCAGAAAAUCAACAUAUGUUUGCAUCAAAGCAUGAUAUUGACGGCCUUAUUUUUAACAUCCUGCUUCUGAAUUUUGACUUAAUAUCUGGUUAAAUAAAUGAUCACUCUGCCUUAUGUUUCUUGUUAAUCUGAGGUCAAAUUCAACUAAUUAAAAAAAGAGAAUAUUUCAUAUUCUGAUAUAGAAAACACUGAAACUGAAAGAGGAUGUGCUUUGAUUUUGUCUUUGUUUCAUCUUUGUUGUUUAUCUCUGGUUAAAGUGAAUCAUUUUGCAAGACUUUUGUUCAUAAAUGUAAACAUCAAAGCAUCUGAGAGUUGCACACAGAUUUGAGGUGGAGUUUGAUGAACUCAAUGGAUUCAUCACUCCCCCAAUUAUACUUUUGACUCGUAUAUACGACUCCAGCUAGUGGUAACUCAACAGUAUGCAGUACAUCCAUACCUCAUACUGAAAGUCUUCACAUAUUUAUCAUUGGAAUUAUUUAUAAACUGGAGAAAUGGGCAAAAAGAGAAAAUACAAUUGGAUUUAUUAACAGAUUUGUUAUUAUGUUACAAUAGAUAUUAUUUUUGAUAUUUAUGGACCCACCCAGCUGCAGUCCUAACUUGAAUCUGAUUUUUAAAAAUCUACAGAGGAACUUUUGAAUGAUGGCACAGAAACCUUCCAGCCUCAAAAGCUUAUCUUAAAAUUUUUAAAUAUCAGUGGAAAUAUGCAAAAAUAAAGUAAGCAAUUACAAGAAUUCAAAAUUGAUACUCCUUUUAUACUCCUUUAUCUUUUGAUAAAUGCCUUUUCUUUUCUGAUAAGAAAAACCUGGUUACGUGAUGAUGCAUUUAAUCUACGUCUACCAGUUCUUUGAAUAAUUUUACACUUAAUUAUAAUUGAUAUCCAGAUUUGCUACUUAAAAUCAGCUGUUCAAGGAUUCUCUUUAUCCAAUCUGGCUGAGUUUGUUUGCUGAGAAGAUGUGGAAACUUCUGUUAUCUAAUACAUGUAAUGUAAUGCACAUAAUGAGGAGCCCACUGUGACAUUAAUAUGCCCUUGAAUAUCCUGCUAAGAUCAUCCAUAUAGUGACAGAUUUAUAUUAUCUUUGUCUAACAGAAAGGCACCCUGAAGAAACACAUCCACAAAUUUAAACUGUUGUGAUCUGCAGUUGGUGCUCUGGAACAAAACUCUUAAUUAAGCAUUGUUGUUCAUAUUAUCAUGUCAUCAGUGCUAGUGCUGCUCUGUAGCUUUGAUCAUCUGCAUGUGAAGAGGAACAACAGUCAGGUGUGUUUCAUCCAUGACUCACAGUUUGAAUCACUAGUUCUGACCUCAUGUAAGUUCUAAGUAAAUCUUUGAAUGUUUUUCCUCUUUUAUUUACCAGGUAAUGAAUGAAGUUUGAUGAAAGUUCACAGAAAUCUGUUACAAAUUCACUGAUUGUUUUUCAUCCCAGAUUACUUCAGCAUCUGAACAUCACAGGCUGCUCUGUCUUUAACAAUAUAGUUUUCUUUCUGCUAAAGUGCUGGGUUUUUAACCAAUACAUGUAAAAAAACUGAUAAAUUAGUUUAGCAUUUGAUAAAGAAGUUCUGAUGAAGCACACAACUGCUUAUUGAUGUUUAAAGAUGAAGCCCAAAAGGCACCUGAAGUUACCAGCAUUCAUGCAAACACAGGUUGGAUUAGGAGUAUUUUAAUCCCAGCAGUUAUUUUCCUAAUAUCAUUAUAGUUUUGUUUCAUCAGUCCAGGCUUCCUUGUAAUCUUUUAAGAUGGUGUUAUCUGAAAAAUUUCUGAAAGUAGUUGAACUUUUUUGCUUGUUUUCUUUUUCUCUGUCCAGUACAUGACACUUCCAGUGUUUGUUUGUUGGUUUGUUUCUUAAUUUACCCAAUUCAGAGUCAGUAAGAUAUGAAUUAUUAAACUCAGUGAAUAAAUCUAUGAUGCAUAAGGGACGUCUUGGAAAAGUAUUUGUCUUUAGACAUCCUUCUCGGACAUAAUUCGUUCCCCUUUCUGUAAUUGUUUCAAUAAACAAUAGUUUGACAGAGGAAAAAAUGAUUUUAAAUCCAGUAGUCAUUCUGAGAGUGCUAUUGGAUGAAAAGCAGAAAUAAUCAGCUGAUGGUGAUUAGGUUAUAUAUGUUAAAGGUUUGCCUUUCAUAUGCUGGAGAUAAAGGUUUUUGACCUCCUAGUUUCUUCUUCUCUUUCUAAUUUUUUCAGCACAAAAUAGAGAAAUUAUUUGUUUGCAAACACAGCAGAUGCAUGCACAACCUGACUGCAGCAAGAGCAGGGCAGCCUUUAAAGGCUCACUAGUUGCCAUAGUAACCAGCAUUUAUCUAGCUGUUUUAACAUUAGCUAGCUGUUGUUGGCAGUUGUUUCUUAUGUUAUUCUACCAAACUGAAAUGAAUGAGAUGCAUCUUACUGAACCAUAAGCACUAAAUGCAGGUAAGUUGAUAAAUGAUGAGAGAAAAUGGAUCAAACAUGAACUAUUACCUACUAGCAAUAUUAAGCAAAUUUGUUCACGGUAAGAUCAUCAGCUCUCAUUGAGAUAUGUCGAUUCCCUCUAAAUAAGACAAACAUAUACAUGGUGAGCAAUAAGGGCACCAGAAUAGGACAAAUAAAAUAAUACAACUUCUUU